AACGCUGAGUUAACGUUGAGUUAAUGCUGAGUCAACGCUGAGAUAACGGUGAUUUAGUGAUAAAGCUGAAUUAACGCUGAGUUAACGUUGAGUUAAUGUUGAGUUAACGUUGAGUUAAUGCUGAGUUAACGCUGAUUUAAUGCUGAGUUAACGCUGAGUUAACGCU